rnacentral:rRNA from 1 species
UACGUAGGGGUGCGAGCGUUGUCCGGAAUUAUUGGGCGUAAAGGGCUCGUAUGGCGGUCUGUUGCGUCAGGAGUGAAAACUCGGGGCUUAACCCCGAGCCUGCUUCUGAUACGGGCAGACUAGAGGUAUGCAGGGGGAGAACGGAAUUCCUGGUGUAGCGGUGAAAUGCGCAGAUAUCAGGAGGAACACCGGUGGCGAAGGCGGUUCUCUGGGCAUUACCUGACGCUGAGGAGCGAAAGUGUGGGGAGGCGAACAGG